GACGAACGCUGGCGGCGUGCCUAAUACAUGCAAGUAGAACGCUGAAGAGAGGAGCUUGCUCUUCUUGGAUGAGUUGCGAACGGGUGAGUAACGCGUAGGUAACCUGCCUUGUAGCGGGGGAUAACUAUUGGAAACGAUAGCUAAUACCGCAUAACAAUGGAUGACCCAUGUCAUUUAUUUGAAAGGGGCAAAUGCUCCACUACAAGAUGGACCUGCGUUGUAUUAGCUAGUAGGUGAGGUAACGGCUCACCUAGGCGACGAUACAUAGCCGACCUGAGAGGGUGAUCGGCCACACUGGGACUGCGACACGGCCCAGACUCCUACGGGAGGCAGCAGUAGGGAAUCUUCGGCAAUGGGGGCAACCCUGACCGAGCAACGCCGCGUGAGUGAAGAAGGUUUUCGGAUCGUAAAGCUCUGUUGUAAGUCAAGAACGAGUGUGAGAGUGGAAAGUUCACACUGUGACGGUAGCUUACCAGAAAGGGACGGCUAACUACGUG
rnacentral:rRNA from 1 species